UGUGAUACGCCCUCUUCAGCACCUUAAUCGACAAGACGAGAUCUUCAAAGAGAUACUUUAUUAUAACAAAUGUAACACGUGAAGAGAUAAACUCUAAAUCGUCUUGCGGUAAUGCUUUUAGUUAGUACCCACAGAAGGAACCUAAUCAUUCUUAACCUGUAUUAAUACAUCGUUUAUGUUUUUUGAUAGAUUCAGCAGACAUCAGUUUUAAGUACUACAACGGACUAUACUACACCACACUUAACUACGGAUGCAAGCACAACGGACAGUAGAAUUACAGACACAGAAGAAGUAACUGUAACAACAGAAUACGUAGAGCCGAUUGAAACGAAUAAAGAGAAAAACCAAGAUUGGUUAUCAGGUGGUGUUAUUGCAAUAAUUGUCGUUAUUGUGGUGACAACGUGUUUAGUUAUUGGAAUCUAUGCUUUUACUUUGAAGAAGAAAAAUCUUAAUGGUGAAAUUGAAAAGGUGGAAAAUAAUCAAGAAUUAAAAAAUAUUUCAAAUGAAGCGUUUGAAACUUAAAUGCUUGAUACCGUUACUGACUGAGCGAUUGAAUUUUGAGUAUUACAGCACUGUUUCCUUAAAUAUUUAGCUUUUGACAAAAGUGUAUUUUGUAACUGAUAACACAACAAAACUCAAUUCCAUAAUUUACAGUAGCGGAUGCAGUUAAAUAUAACAAUAGUAAAUUGAAAUAUGAUUUUUCGCUGAGGUUUGUUAAUCAUAUGUUUCCUCUUGUUUAUGUUAUCUUUGUAUUAUGGUGUACUUUAUCCAAACCUUUUGUAUUGGUGUGGUUAGUAAUUAUUGUUUCAUGCAUCUCUGAAGAAGAGCACAUGUUACAAAAUACUUUUAAAUGCAUAUUAAAUAAAUAAUGUAUGACAUAUAAUAAUCUUUACUUAUAUUGAAAUAUUGUAUAAAAUAAUCAUCUCAAAUAGUAUUACAGUAUAUAUAUAUAUAUAUAUAU